rnacentral:rRNA from 1 species
GAUGAACGCUGGCGGCGUGCUUAACACAUGCAAGUCGAACGGAAAGGCCCAAGCUUGCUUGGGUGCUUGAGUGGCGAACGGGUGAGUAACACGUGGGUGAUCUGCCCUGCACUUUGGGAUAAGCCUGGGAAACUGGGUCUAAUACCGGAUAGGACCAUCGUUUAGUGUUGGUGGUGGAACGUUUUUCGGUGUGGGAUGAGCUCGCGGGCUAACAGCUUGUUGGUGGGGUAAUGGCCUACCUAGGCGUCGACGGGUAGCAGGCCUGAUAGGGUGUACGGCCACACUGGGACUUAGAGGCGGCCCAGACACCGACGGGUGGCAGCAGUGGGGAAUAUUGCACAAGGGGCGCAAGCCGGAUGCAGCGACUCCGCGUAGGGGAUGACGGCCUUCGGGUUGAAAACCCCAUGCGCCAAGGACGAAGCGUUUUGUGACGGUACUUGGAGAAGAAGCACCGGCUAACUACGUG